rnacentral:rRNA from 1 species
AAUAGAUACCCGGGUAGUCCACGCCGUAAACGAUGAAUGCUAGGUGUUAGGGGUUUCGAUACCCUUGGUGCCGAAGUUAACACAUUAAGCAUUCCGCCUGGGGAGUACGGUCGCAAGACUGAAACUCAAAGGAAUUGACGGGGACCCGCACAAGCAGUGGAGUAUGUGGUUUAAUUCGAAGCAACGCGAAGAACCUUACCAGGUCUUGACAUCCCUCUGAUCGGUCUAGAGAUAGGCUUUUCCUUCGGGACAGAGGAGACAGGUGGUGCAUGGUUGUCGUCAGCUCGUGUCGUGAGAUGUUGGGUUAAGUCCCGCAACGAGCGCAACCCUUGAUCUUAGUUGCCAGCAUUUCGGAUGGGCACUCUAAGGUGACUGCCGGUGACAAACCGGAGGAAGGUGGGGAUGACGUCAAAUCAUCAUGCCCCUUAUGACCUGGGCUACACACGUACUACAAUGGCCAGUACAACGGGAAGCGAACUCGCGAGAGGGAGCCAAUCCUAGCAAAGCUGGUCUCAGUUCGGAUUGCAGG